rnacentral:rRNA from 1 species
UGGGGAAUUUUCCGCAAUGGGCGAAAGCCUGACGGAGCAAGACCGCGUGAGGGAGGAAGGCCUUUGGGUUGUAAACCUCUUUUCUCAGGGAAGAAGAUAAUGACGGUACCUGGUAAAGAAACCCCGGCUAACUCCGUGCCAGCAGCCGCGGUAAUACGGAGGGGGUUAGCGUUGUUCGGAAUUACUGGGCGUAAAGCGCACGUAGGCGGACCAGUCAGUCAGAGGUGAAAUCCCAGGGCUCAACCUUGGAACUGCCUUUGAUACUGCUGGUCUCGAGUCCGAGAGAGGUGAGUGGAAUUCCGAGUGUAGAGGUGAAAUUCGUAGAUAUUCGGAGGAACACCAGUGGCGAAGGCGGCUCACUGGCUCGGUACUGACGCUGAGGCGCGAAAGCGUGGGGAGCAAACAGGAUUAGAUACCCCUGUAGUC